AUGGGCGCAAGCCUGAUGCAGCGACGCCGCGUGAGGGAUGACGGCCUUCGGGUUGUAAACCUCUUUCAGUAGGGAAGAAGCGAAAGUGACGGUACCUGCAGAAGAAGCGCCGGCUAACUACGUGCCAGCAGCCGCGGUAAUACGUAGGGCGCAAGCGUUAUCCGGAAUUAUUGGGCGUAAAGAGCUCGUAGGCGGUUUGUCGCGUCUGCCGUGAAAGUCCGGGGCUCAACUCCGGAUCUGCGGUGGGUACGGGCAGACUAGAGUGAUGUAGGGGAGACUGGAAUUCCUGGUGUAGCGGUGAAAUGCGCAGAUAUCAGGAGGAACACCGAUGGCGAAGGCAGGUCUCUGGGCAUUAACUGACGCUGAGGAGCGAAAGCAUGGGGAGCGAACAGGAUUAGAUACCCUGGUAGUCCAUGCCGUAAACGUUGGGCACUAGGUGUGGGGGACAUUCCACGUUUUCCGCGCCGUAGCUAACGCAUUAAGUGCCCCGCCUGGGGAGUACGGCCGCAAGGCUAAAACUCAAAGGAAUUGACGGGGGCCCGCACAAGCGGCGGAGCAUGCGGAUUAAUUCGAUGCAACGCGAAGAACCUUACCAAGGCUUGACAUGAACCAGACCGGGCUGGAAACAGUCCUUCCCCUUGUGGGUUGGUUUACAGGUGGUGCAUGGUUGUCGUCAGCUCGUGUCGUGAGAUGUUGGGUUAAGUCCCGCAACGAGCGCAACCCUCGUUCUAUGUUGCCAGCACGUGAUGGUGGGGACUCAUAGGAGACUGCCGGGGUCAACUCGGAGGAAGGUGGGGACGACGUCAAAUCAUCAUGCCCCUUAUGUCUUGGGCUUCACGCAUGCUACAAUGGCCGGUACAAAGGGUUGCGAUACUGUGAGGUGGAGCUAAUCCCAAAAAGCCGGUCUCAGUUCGGAUUGGGGUCUGCAACUCGACCCCAUGAAGUCGGAGUCGCUAGUAAUCGCAGAUCAGCAACGCUGCGGUGAAUACGUUCCCGGGCCUUGUACACACCGCCCGUCAAGUCACGAAAGUUGGUAACACCCGAAGCCGGUGGCCU
rnacentral:rRNA from 1 species